rnacentral:rRNA from 1 species
AGAAUCAACGCUGGCGGCGUGCCUAACACAUGCAAGUCGAACGGGAAAGUGGAGCAAUCCAUGAGUAUAGUGGCGACCGGGUGAGUAACACGUGACUAACCUACCCUUGAGUGGGGGAUAACCUCGGGAAACCGGGCUAAUACCGCAUAAAAUCUUCGGGAUGAGAAGCUGGAGAUCAAAGGAGCAAUUCGCUUUUGGAGGGGUCGCGGCUGAUUAGCUAGUUGGCGGGUAACGGCCCACCAAGGCUAUGAUCGGUA